rnacentral:miRNA from 1 species
UGGACUUACCAUUUGAAGGU